GGUCCCGCCUGCCCAGUGACUUUUUAAACGGCCGCGGUAUCCUAACCGUGCAAAGGUAGCAUAAUCACUUGUCCUCUAAAUAAGGACUGGAAUGAAUGGCUAAAUGAGGACUAAACUGUCUCUUACAGCUCAGCCAAUGAAAUUGAUUUUUCAGUACAAAAGCUGAAAUAUACCCACAAGACGAGAAGACCCUGUGGAGCUUUAAACCAGGCCCAUUUUAUUUAUGUCUCCCUGUGUUUUUAGUUGGGGCGACUUCGGAGCAUAAAAAAACCUCCGAAACAUGUUAUAUUUAAGAUCAACACAUCAAAAAUAACCACAUAAGACCCAGCAACACCCAAGUUGUCUGAUCAAUGAACCAAGUUACCCCAGGGAUAACAGCGCCAUCCCCUUCUAGAGUCCUAUCAACAAGGGG
rnacentral:rRNA from 1 species